UACGAACCGUACAAACGUUAUUCGGAAUCACUGGGCUUAAAGGGUGCGUAGGCGGCCAUGUAAGUGAGGCGUGAAAUCCCUCGGCUCAACCGAGGAACUGCGCUUCAUACUGCAUGGCUUGAGGGAGACAGGGGUAAGCGGAACUGAUGGUGGAGCGGUGAAAUGCGUUGAUAUCAUCAGGAACCCCGGUGGCGAAAGCGGCUUACUGGGUCUCUUCUGACGCUGAGGUACGAAAGCUAGGGGAGCGAACGGG
rnacentral:rRNA from 1 species